rnacentral:lncRNA from 1 species
AACUAAAGAAGCAAAUGAAAGGAAAUAGAAACAGUAUGAAACGAAACAGAGAGCAGGGGAGAAAAGAAAGAAAGAAGGGGAGAAAAGGGAAAAUUUAAGGUUUGAAGCUUUAAGCUCUAAUAGGUAAGUCAAUCAAGCCCUUUUUACUUAAUUUUGAUGUUUUAGAAGUUUUAGAAUAAAGUUUUGAUGAAAUUAAGUUGAUAUUUUGAUAGUUAUUAGAUUUCUAGAUAUUGUCCAUGUUAAAUAAAAUGAUGAAUUAAUGGCUAAAUUGAUAGAAGUUCAAGUUAAAAAUGAUACAAGGAUUGAAUUGUAAAGUGAUUCAUAAGUUUUAUGCUUUAAGGACUAAAUUGAAAGAAUUUCGAAAUUAUGGUUUUAUGAUGAAAAAUAGAUAAUUAUGUCUAAGUUUGGUUAAAAUUUGAGUAGAAAUAAAGUAUGAAUUAAGAUAGAAAAGUAAGUGAAUUCAGUUAGAAUUAAAUUGAAAUUAAAGUAAAUCAACAUUUUGUAUUAAGACUAUUUUGGACAGCAGCAGUAAUCUAAGUUUGAAAAAUCACCAAAAAUUGUAGAAAUUGAAUUAGAGGAUGAAUAAAAUAUGGAAUUAAAUAUUAUUGAGUCUAGUUUCUUAUAGAAGAAACAAUAUAAGCAAUUGAAUUGUAAAUUAUGAGAUAUAAUGAAUUUUGUGAGACAAGGUCAGAAUGAAUUCGGGUUCCCCUGUUCUGACUUUGGAAAAUCACCAAAAAUUUAAGAAAAAUAAUUAUAGGCUUAAAGUUAUAUUUUUAGAAUCCCUAAUGAGUCUAUUUUCAGGAGAAAUCAACGGGAUUAUUAUCCGAGUUCUGUACUGUGAGAUAAUUAAUUUUUAGUGAAGAAGGGACGAAACUGUCAGACAGCAGAAUAGGGGUGAAUUUAAAGAAUAAACUGUACUUAAUGGCUAAACCAAAAAUUCUGAAAUUUUUAUUGUAAGAAUAUUUGUGAGUCUAGUUUCAGGAAAAAUUAGCGGAUCUUAAUUUAGAAUUCUGUAACUCAAGAUAUGAAUUAGUAAUGUAUUAAUGAUUAUGAAUUGUAUUAAUUUCAUAGUCAAUGUGGUACCGGAAAUCUCGGCUAAGAAAGGACAAGACAAAGUCAACGGGAGUUAGCUCGAAAAUUACGGUUUGUAUUUCUAUAAUCCGAACUUAGUCAUUAUUUAUUAUAUUUAUAUACAUAUGGAAAAUGUUAGUGAUUGAAUUAUGAUGUUUUACAAUUGAAAUAGAUUGAUUUUAGUAUGCGAUGAAUUUAUUGAAUUUAUAUUGAUUGAAAUUAUUUUGAUUGAAUUUGUAUUGAUUGAAUUAUAUAAUAUAUAUGAUUUAUGUAGAAAUUUGAUUAUUGAAUGAAUAUUAUAUUGAAAAAUAUAUUGAUUGGAAAUAUGAGGAAAUUGAUAUGAAUAUAUGAGAUUGUGAUAAUUGAAUAUUUGAUAUUGAAAAGUGAAUUGAAUUGUAUUGAAUUAUGAAUUAAUGUGAAUAAUUGAAAUAUAUUGUUGAAUUGAAUGAAAUUGUAUGAAUUUUGAAAAUGGGUGAAUAUAUGUGAUUAUCAGAACGGUAUAUUGAUGAAAGAAUUAUUAAAUUGAGAAAGUGAAUGAAAUACCCUAUUAACUAGUCGGGCUGAGUCGGAUAUAAUUGGCAUGCCAUAGGAUCUGGAAGUGUACGGGAUUUGCCGGCUUUAUCGAUCAGGCACUUUAUGUGUCAUAUUUCAGGCACCUCGUGUGUCGUAUCAGGCACCUCGUGUGUCGUAUCAGGCACCUCGUGUGUCGUUUUAGGCACUUUAUGUGUCGUAUACUGAUCAGGUACUAUGUACCGUUUUAGGCACAAUGUGUCGUACUGGUGUGUUUGGGUUGGAAUCCGUGUAUCCGUCAAAGUCUGGAUUUGUUAAUAGGGGUAAAUAAGUGAAAGAUAAAUCGAAUAAAUUUGAUUGAUCAAGCUAUUGAAAUGAAACGAGAAAUUGAAUUGAGAAUUGAAAAUUUAGAUAUGAAAUUGAAAAUAUGAACCAAAGGUUCAUGAAAUGAUUGGAGUUCGAAUUGAUGAUAUAUGAUGCCACUUGAUGAAUUGAAAUGUGAUUUGAGAUAUAUGAAUCGUAUGUAUAUACUGAAAACUACCAGGGAUAGUAAGUUGAUAUGAUAUAAAUGAAAUUGACAGUUAUUGAAAUGAAUUAAAAUGGAAUAUGAUUGAUAAGUGUAUAGUUGAAUAUAGUUUAAUGAUAUUGAAUUGUGAGUAAAUUAAGGAAAGCUAUACCGAGUAGUAAGUGAAAGAAUGGAGUAAAUAAUAAUGGAUUUAGUUAAGAAUUGAACAAUUAUGUUAUUGUGUUUAUUAUAUGAUUUGUAUAAAAUUUAUAUGGUAAGUAGUUGAAAUUUAUCUAUGAAUAAAUAAUUGCAUAAUUGUAAUUGUUAUUAUGAUCUUAAGUAUUUGUUAUAUUAUUAAAUGUUCGGAUUAUAGAAAUGCCACUGAGUAUACCAUACUCAGCGUACGGUUUGUUUCCGUGCGCAGGUUAAGUAAAGAUAGUACGUUGAAUUAGUAUCCCAAGACGAUCCCGAAUUCAUUAAGGUAAAGUAUGUUGAGUAUUGAUAAUGGCAUGUACCCAGGAUGUUUAAUGAGAGUCACUUAGGUUGUAAAAGUAUUGAUGAAAUAAGUAAAUUAUGGUUGGUAACGGUAUAUAGUAUGAAUUUUGAAAUUUACUAAAAAUUCGUAGUGAUUCUAAAUUAAUCCCGAAUUGAAUUUACUGUUCAUAUUAGACUGCGAGGGCCCAUUAAAGGACGACAUCUUAAAACUAGGAUGUGUGUGAAUAUUUAUUUUAAUUAAUGACCGAAAUUGGACUGUACUGACUGGUAAUGUCUCGUAACCCUAUUCCGGUGACGGUAUAAGGUUAGGGGACGUUACACCAAUGGUUGGUAAAGAUAAUUUAAAAGUAGUUGUUACAUUUUGUAAUAAUGCCUUUAUUAAGCUUAAUAUCAUGCUUUGUGAUAGUUUGUUGUUUUUAGAAUCUUAGGCUGCUAUUUUUCAACAAACUCUUCUUCCUAAUACCCUACACAUAAGAUUAUAAAAAUUAUGUAAUAUAAGUUAAUCCAUUAUAAAUAUAUAUUGAUCAUAGCUCACACCAGUUGAUUAUGAUGUAUUAACCUUUUGUUUGAAAAUUAGACAAAAGCAAUUGAUGAAUUAAAACAAAAUUACUCAAAAUUCAGUUCAAUGGGAGGUAUUAUGCCUGUUCUUGUUGGACUGAACUGAUGCAAUAAUUGACUCACAACAAUCAUCCCUCAUUCAAGUUGAGAGGCUUUCAACCACAUUGUUAUUAUUAUGUAGGCACAUAAUUUCAUUCUAUAUUUCAACUUCUUCAGCUUAAACGCAAAAAACCAAUCUAUCUAGAGAAAUUGAUGAGAGAUGGAAUCUAAAAGUUCAUACCAAUUAAAGAUUUAAUAUCAAUUUUUGUACUAUUCUAUUUAUGAUUCAAUCCACAAUAAUAAUAUUCGUUUACAUCUUAAAAUGAAUAAAGUGAUGAAUAAUAUACUUCCCAUGUUUUCUGGCUUGCUAGUUUGAGGAAGAACCACUUGUAGGGCACCCAUGAAUAUUUAGUUUCGACGCCUAAUAAUAUCAAAAGCAAAAAGAACUUUAUUUCAAUAUAAUUACUAAAUGAUAGAAGGUGAUUUGACCACUUAGCAAAUCUAGUGCAUAAUUAGCCUCGUGAACUAUAUACUUCGCAGCGUCAAUAUUCAAAAGUUGGCUAAACUUGGCUUUACACGAAAGUGGCUACCAGAAAAAGUGUAGGCAACAAUUUCGUAUUCAAAAGCUACAAGCUAAAUAUCAAAUUUCCGAGCUCAAAUAGAUGGAGAUGCUGCUAUGAAAAUGAGAGAAUUGAUGGAGGGGGACAAUAAGUAUAUGCCAACUAUUUGAAGUUCUAUUAUAGGAAAUAGGUAACAACAAUUGUGAUACAUUUUUUCUUUAUCUUGAAAGUACAUUUAUCUAAUACUCAGGUCAUCUAUUCGAUAUAAUAAAUCUAGCUCAAAUUGGAUACAAUUUAGAACAAAUUCUUAAUUAUUACAAUCAUAUCCUUCUAUUUUAAAUUACUAUUUAAAUAAUAAUUUUCUACUUAAACAUAUUCACUUAAAGAUAUUAGUUUUGAAGAAUUCGUUUAAUGGCGUAUAAGUUGUUAUAGUAAAUAGUCAAAACAUUUAAGUUAUACAAAAUUUUAGCUUGCACAAAUAUUAUAAUUCACACCAUAGAUAAUGCAAAGUGCCAUUAACAAUGGAAGUUUAAGGUGACUAAAAGUGGCUGUAGAGUGCUUAUAUUGUGAGCAGAUAGUCUUCUCUCUUAUGGAUCUUCCCAUUGUUUUGGUGUAAAGAUGAGGUAUUUAUAGAAGGAGAUUAGUUGGUCAUCAACCCCAACCAUCAAGCAUCUUACUCCACAUGUGCAGGGGGUAGAGUGGCUAGUUGCUAGCUAAGGGCAUUGUUGGAGUCAAUGCAAGGUGGCUAGGUGAAGUGUCAUCAAGUUUGAGUAGGUGACAAAUUGAUGGGUGUUGUCAAGAGUUCUUCUCUAUAUAGUACAAAUCCUUAUCAAAAUAGUCAGAAAAUAGAACUAAAAUUCUCCUAAUAAAGUCUAGAAUAAAUAAGAUACAUUUAAGAUAUUCUUCAAAUCAUUCAAUCCAAUCUCUAAAAAAUAGAAAAUCUUAUUUAUAUGAUCAAGUUCAAUCCAAUUCUCUUACGAUUUGUUUCUCCAUUAGAACAACCUUCAUAAAUGGGCCAACACAUUUAGAUGUGAUGUAACACCCUCUAACCCUGUCCCGUUGCUGGAACAGGAUUAUAGAGUAUUGCCGAUCAUUACAGUACAUUUGCACAUAAAAUAAGAAUAAAUGUAAUGCUAUACAUCUAAACAUAGCUUUAAUGGGCCCACAGUAGUUAUUAAGUAUAAUUAAAUCAAACCGGAGCUCAAUCAAAAACAUAGAAAAUUUUUCGUGCAACUUUAAAAUUUCUUCUUUUGAAUAGUACCACACGCCCGUGUGGCUAAUGUGACGCCUGUGUGAUUUUUAUGACACACCCGUGGAGGCCAAACGUGUGGUUCACACGGCCUGGACACUCCCGUGUCCUCUACCCGUGGAGUAUUCUGACUUAGAGCUUAUAAAUUCACUAAUUUCACACGGCCAAGGCACACGUCUGUGUGCUUAGCCCGUGUGCAAACCUAUUUGUAGCAUUUUAGGUGCAGGAGACACAGGGCCUAGCAACAUGCCCGUGUACAAGCCGUGUGUCUCACACGGUCUGGUCACACGCUCGUGUGACAAACCAUGUGGACUCAAAACAAACCUUAUAUUUUAAAAUUACCAACCUUGCAAAUUGUAGACAACAAGCAUUUCAAUAUUUCUCCAUUCAACUAGUCCAAACAUGAUUAAACACACUUAAUACUCAUUAAACCAUCAUAUCAUAAUCUAAUACAUAUAUUUAAUAAUGCCUUAAACUAAACCAUUUCAAAAGUUGCAUCUAAAUUCCAUUAUAUUCAAUUCAAAGGAUUAUACAUCAUAACAUUCUCAUUAUAUCCAUUAAUUAUCUAUUAACAUUCUUCACUAACAUCACUUACAACCUGAUAUCAUUUAGAUAACCUGGUACAUGCCAUUCUUCAAAGAUAGAUACACCACCAAGUUUUUGAGUGUGGGAACUGACUUGGAUGCUGAGUUGUUACUUACUUUAUACCUAAGCUGUGCACGGAAACAAACCGUAUGCUGAGUAUGCACUCAGUGGUAUUUCUAUAAACUAAUACUUAAAACAAUAAUAAGCUAUGUAUAUACAUUAUAACUUAAACUUUUUACUUUCAUAAUCUUAAUAGUUUCACCCCUUACAUUCAUUUUACAUCUCUUCCCUGUAGUUAAGCAAUUCAUAUAUAUUUCUAUCUUCAUAUUAUUCGAUAACUUAAACAUUCGUAAAUCAAUCACAGUUACUUAAUCGAUAUCAGACAAUCUUUAGUACUUUCAUUUACCCCUAUUAACAUAACUCGGACCUAAACGGAUACGCGGAUCCAACCCACACACCGGGGAUAAUAUACAAUGUUUCAUCGGCUGAAACCGAAAUACACCGUAGGGUAACAGUAACAGUAACAGUAACAGUCAUAGUCAGGUACGAAGUAACUCUUCGAAACGAAUCCGGAACAGUCACAGUAGUCGACACAUAUAGUGUCUCAUCGGCACACACUCGAAAUAUCCCUAAACACUUCCAAUCCUAUGGCAUGCCAAUUGUAUCCAACUAGCCCGACACUGUUAAUAGGGUAUUCAAAUCAUUUCAUUUCAAUACAGAAGUAGUAACAGUUUCCAUCAUAUCAUUCAUUAUACAUUCUAACUAUUAAAAAUGACAAUUACAUUGUAUUAAAUCAUUAAGCAUAGUUUAUAGAAAUACAAACCGAAAUUCUCGGGUUUAUUCGAUAUCCUCGUUCACUUUCUCCUUUCCUUUUUUCGAUGACAUUUCCGGUGCUACGUUGGCUACAUAAAAUUUAACAUUUAAAAUUAUCAAAAUUUGUUAUUUAAUAACACGCUCUUUUAUUUUCAUAUAACUUUUACUAUAUUUCCAAUUAGGUCCUUCCACCAUAACUAUUUUUUUCUUCAAAUAAACCUUAAAAUUUUCAUUAUAUCCUUACUUUAAACAAGUUUCAACUCUUAAUAUUCAAUAUAAAACAUAAAUUCUACAAUUUAAACAAUUUAAUCCCUACUAUAACAAAACUUAUAUCUCUCUUUAUAAUUUAAUCCAUCUCUCACUUCUAACUUGAAUUUCUAUCACUUAAUAUCAUAAUUCAUCAAUUUAUUCAACUUAAUCAACAUCUAAAAAAAUUCAUUAACUUCCUUAUUUUUAACAUAAUUCAAGUAGUAUUUGUAAUGGCCUCAAUUCAAGGUUAUCGGAACAGUGGUUUCGUAACCAUAAAUUCGAUUUAAAAAGAAAUUUAUUUUAAUAUUUUUGCAUGAAUAUUUAUAUAAUAGGAAAAUCGUAUGAAAAUACAGAUAAAAUUUUUUUUACCGAUUUAGUGGUUAGUUAGAAAAAGAAAUUAUUGAAGAAAUUGGGUAAAAACAAAGUAUCGAGAUCUCUAUCUCAUAAAACCGAGUCGGAAAUAUUUUUAUAAAUAUUUAUAAAAUGUUAGCGAUGUGGUAUUAAAAUUUCGUUAGGAAAUUUUAAUGUUUGGGUAGUCAAUUAAAUGAAAAGGACUAAAUUGUAAAAGGUGUAAAAAUUGUUAAAAUGAUUAAAUAGCUUAAGAGUCUAAUGAGAAAGGAUUUAAAAGAAAAUUAGACCCAAAUAAAAGGAUUUAAAAGAAAAUUAGACCCAAAAUUUAUUUGGGCUGGACGGCAAGGCAUGAAAUCAGCAGGAAAAUUGAUGAUUUAAGGGUAAAAUUGGAAUCUUGCAUAAUUAACUAAAUAAAGAUAGGACUAAAUAGAAAAUAUCUAGAUUUCUCUUCAUUUUUCUUUAUUAUCAUCAACCAAAACACCACAGGAGGGGUUAUCUAAGCUGGUAUUUCAUAAUUUUUGCACCAAAUGAGUUAAUCCAUGCCUAUUUCUUAUAAUUUUUGUGUUUCUAAGACUUUUACAACUAGGUCCUACUUUUAAAUUCAUUAGUUUUUUAUUUCAUGGAUGAAAUUAAAAGUCACCAUGGUUUAUUUCUGUAAGUUUAUUAUGAAAUAGAAUGAAAUUGAAGCUUUAAUUUGUUUAUGAGAUGAUUUUAUUAGGCAAUUUCAAUGGAAAUUGAUUUUUAGGACCUAAUUGUGAAAAUGUGUGGAAUUAAAGUCUAGUGUUGAAAUUAUGAUUUCCAAAGGUUGUAAAAUAGUUUAAGGUGAUAGAAUAAAGUGUUAAUUGAGAACAAUCAGCUCAAUUGAGAGGCUAACUGAGUAGGGACGAAAUUAUCAUUUAUUAAAAGCCUAGGGAAAAAAUAGUAAUAAACAGCUUGCACUAAAACAGUUUUAGACAGCAGCAAUAGACUAACUUUGAAAAAUCACCAUAAAUUCUAUAAAUAUAAUUAGAAGAUGAAAAAAAUAUGGAAUUAAAUCUUAUUGAGUCUAGUUUCUCAUAGAAGAAACGGUGUAAGCAAUAGAUUUGUAAAUCUUGAGAUAUAAUGAAUUGUGUGAGACAAGGUCAGAAUGAAUUCGGGUUCCCCUGUUCUUACUUUGAAAAAUCAUUAAAAAUUGAAUAAAAAUAAAUAGGAGCUUAAAUUUAUAUUUCUAGAAUCCUGAAUAAGUCUAUUUUUAAGAGAAACAAACAAGAACAUCAUUUGAAUCCUAUAUAAAGAGACAAUUAAUUUUCAGUAAAGAAGGGUCAGAACUAUCAGACAGCAGAACAGGGGUGAAUUUAAAGAAUAAACUGUACUUAUUGACUAAACCAAAAAUUCUGAAAAUUUUAUGGUAAGAAUAUAUGUGAGUCUAGUUUCAGGGAAAAUUAGCGGAUCCUAAUUUAGAGUUCUGUAUCUCAAGAUAAAAAUAAUUUAAUGAUUAUGACUCAAGUAGACAGCUUUGAAUGAACUAUAAAUAAUAAUGAAAUUAUAGAGAAUGUUACAUAUGAACAUGAAAUGUAUUAAAUUGAUAAUUAAAUUUAUUUAUUUAGAUCCAGAAUAUUCAAAUAUGAAGCUAGAUCGAGGAAAGGAAAAAGUUCGGGAUUAGUAGAUUUUUGUUUACAAACAAGUCUCGAGGUAAGUUCAUGUAACUUGAAUUAUAUUCUUAAAUACUUGAAAUGUAUGUUAUUGAUGUGAAUAUGAUUUGAAUGUUCAUUGUAUGAAAAUUGAUAAAACAUUGAUAUAUUUGAUAAAAAGGGGAAGAAAUCUCAGUUGAAUGAAAGGAAAUUUCGAUGGAUCUCUGAAAAGGAAUUGACGGUAAAAAGGAUCUAGCCCGGACGGGUGACCCUAUCCUGAUAUAGCCCUCCCGAAGAAUAUGUGUAAAAUGGAUUUAGCCCAGACAGGUAAUUCGAAUCAGGGUCUGAAUUUAGCCUGGACUGGUAAUUCAGAUCCAAGCUCAUUAAAGUAAUUGUCGUUGUAGGGGAUUUAGCCUGGACUGGUAAUCCCGACAAUACUCUAUGAGUUUAUAUUAUAGGGGAUUUAGCCUAGACUGGUAAUCUCGCUGUAAGGAUGAGGUUUGCGGGAGUGUGCUCUCUGAAAUGGAAAUGUGCGCACAUGAAUAUGAAUUGACAGACCCGGAAAUGUACACUAAAAGUGUACCUCUGAAAAUCCAUCGAAAAUUCCAAGAAAUUCAACGGGAUAAAUAUGAAAAAAAAUAUAAGGGAAUGAAAAUCAUGUUAUUGAUGAGUUCAUCAAUCAUGAUAUAUAUAUUAUUGACACAUGAAAAUUAUUGUACUAACUUGAAUGUUGAGUUUGUGCAUGUUAGGGUAAUAAUGCAUUGAAUGAAUAUUUGAAUGUUUAUUGCAUUGUAUUGAAAAUAUUAGGUAAGUAUAAUUCUUGUUACAUGAGCUUACUAAGCACAAAGUGCUUACCUUGUUUCCUUUUUUCCUGUUUUGUAGUGUUAAGAGCUCGGAGGUCGGAUUUGGUCGGAGACACAUCACACUAUCAACUUCAAGAUUUCGGUAUAUCAAGAAACUUUAUUUUAAAAAUCAAUGGC